rnacentral:lncRNA from 1 species
ACAUCUAAAUAUAAACUAUAACAUCAUCAUUCUACUCUGAACUUAAACAGAGAUGUUAAGAUUAUAGAAAAUGUAGCCCACACGUAGUCUACAAAAGAAAAAGAAAAGUUGCAUCAUCCUCCUAGCAGAAUCUGUGACCUACACCUUGAAUUGUGAGCCAGAUCCUGGGAACUGGUGAUGCUGGGUAACACCUCAUAAGCCCAGGCUUGUGUGUCUUCUUGGGAACUGACUGUUGCUGUCUCCACUGCCACAGGCACCCAGGGAGGAUGGUGUCUAGAAGUCCCCAAAGUGCUGAUGGGCUAGAACAGUGGUAACAUUGAUAUCAAAAUGCCUCCUGGGCAGAAGGCCAAGUGGAACUGAGGAUGAGGCUCUGCAAGAAGGCAGGCAUUUCCUUAAGACAUGAUCAUCAUUAUAUUCAGUGUUACUCUACCCUCAGCACAACAUCUGGCAUGUGAGGCCACACCUGGAAGAAGAUGGUACCUGCCCCCCUCUCACACAAAGGCAAGUGAAGCAGUAAGUGCAACCUUCACAUUAAACAUAAAAUGGCAGACACCACCUUCUUCAAAGUCUUCCCACACCUUUUAGCUUGUUAGCUUUUAUCUCUUGUGUUUAAACAAUGAAUUAAAACUUAUUUUAAAGGCUAGAUCAUGCUAUCAGUACUGUAGCUGCUUACUAGAUAUUUCUCGAAGCAAAC